UUGCCUUAAUUUCUAAAGGAGGGGAGAGGUAGAAGUGAACUAGGAGUCCCCCAGCUAGAGGGAGAGUUCACUAGGAGGGAUUCCUUGGAAAGGGAAAUGGAGAGAAGUUGCCUAUGGCUGUCUUCUGUCCAUUAGCCCUGCCCUGGAGCACACUUAGAGAGCAGGCUGUGGGCCUUGAAGGGGGUUAGAAACGGUGAUGCACAGUCAGAGCUUUCCCUCGCCUAUGCUCCUUUGUCUUAGCUGGGCAUUGUCUUUCCAGGCAGUUAGGAGCACAAAGGGCUACAAAUAGGCCCCAAGAUGGUAGUAGAUACAUCUUGGUGCACUUUUUGUUUUGCUUGUUUCUCAAGACUCUAUGUCGCAAGUCCUGCAAGGCAAAAAACAGAAAUAAAAUCCAACUUUUACCCAAUCUACAGCCGGAAAUCAAAUGAGUAGGUGAGAUGAGAGAAAAUAUAUAAAGAGCAUCAGUUUUAAGUUUGCUUUCCUGUCUGUAAUUUUGAAGAACCAAUAUGGUGAAUACUUCUCCUGCCAUUAUCAUUUAUGUCUCCCUUAUUACUACACAAUCACGUGAAUGCAGAGAAUGAGGAGGCAUCUUUUAAAAGCCUUAGGAAAUUUUAUAUGAUGACCUCGAUAUUCAUUUUCAGCCAUACUGGGAAAACUCACGUUUCAUGGAGUGCCCCCUAAUAGUGAAUGUAUUAGAGCAUUAUGUGUUUGGCAUGUAUACACCUGUGUGUGUACACACAUGCAAAUACACACACACGCACACACUCAGCAUGCACAUUUCACACAUGCACUUUAUCCAAUGUUGAAACUGCAUUCUAAUUAACCUUAUUUUAUUGCCAUUUCAACUCUUAAAAUCAAUAUCUGCUAUAUUAGUAGGCAUAAGUACAAUUCAAUUUUUUAAAUAUUUAAGAGGAAAAAAAUCACUACAAAACUAAUGAAAAAUGAGACCAUCAGAAAUAGGAAAAGCUUGGUAGUAACAGUCUAACUACAUUGUCAACUCUACUUCAAGCUAGAGAAUCUAAGAUGGAAUUGAAUAUAAAUUAAAACAUACAUAUAUCUUCAUUUCAAGUUAAGUUCUUUGAGGUUCUGACAUGUUUUUAGUCAGGGUUACCUGUUCAGGUUCUCUCCUGGUGGGAUUCCAGACCAAAAAGUUGGAAGUCUCAGGAAAUGCACAUUUUUAUGAGUUUUUCAGUUCUCCAGUCUUGCAGAUCCAAUGACACAAUCUUCUAAUCUUUGGUCACUUAACCAAACAGAAGUUCCAUAGGCAGAGUGCUCACAUUUUGAAUUGCUAAUGGAAAAUAAUACACAGUGUCCCUCAGAAUGUGCUAAACAGGAUUUUUAAAAGCAUUUUAUUUUACAGCACUUUAGUCUUUUCAACUAGAUUUCAGUGACACUAUUGUGUAAAUGCUAUAUUUGCCAUAACUUACUGGUGGCUCCUGUGUUACAUACAGUUUUAAAUAAUGCUCUAAAUUGUUUGUUUUCCCAAUGACAAUGAUAAAGUGUUCUGUAGAAUUUGUAAAACGUGUUGAUUGAAUCUCUUGAAAAUUGUGUGAAUUUUUAUUUCACUUGUGAUACUAUUUUGUAGGUAUUAGUUCUAACUGUACAUCUGUAUGAGUCAAAUGUAUGUGAUUGUAUGUGGUAUGUGUGUGUAAGUAUAUUGUGUAUCUUAUUCAAAAAUCAAACUUAUCCUAAAGAAAAAGGGCACAUUAUGACCAGCCUUAAUUCAUUGCCAUUUUGUUUUUAUUGUGAUUAAAAUUUGGAUAGAAAAUUUAAACAGAAAUUAUGUUUUUGUUAAAGAUGGCUUUUAAAGAAAAUCUUAUAAGGAAUAUGCUUUAGAACUUAUCUGAGUUCCCACAAGCAAAUUGGUCAGCUUGUGGAGCCUCACAUGCUUUUCAAAAUUACCAAACGUCAACGAAGUUAUUAACGUCAUCAUCCUACAAAUAGUCAAAAUGUACAUUUAUUUCUAUCAGCAACAGAACAAAUGCACCUCUAAAGUUGUUCUUCCCAUCAUAGAACCCAUUUUGCUUUAGUGAUAAGUUUUACAUGAACAAUUAUUUCUCUAAACCAUUGCUUUUUAAAAAUUGGAUCUUCUCAAGUAAGAUGAACCACUUUGGCGCCAUGAGAGUUAUUAAAAGGCCCAUGAACGUUAGAUGGUUCCAGUGUGGUUCCCUUCUCAAAAAACAAGCAUGCAACACUCAUACAUUUUUUGUCUGUCCUAUAUGUAGUCCAGCAAUAGAAAACUCAUGACUAAUUCAAGGAUCUGCACAUGUGGUCACACUCAAAGCAAAAACACUAUAAUCUUUGGGUUUGGGAUCUGGGUGUGGAAUAUUAAUUAACUUCUUAUUUCUUUUUCUUCUUCAUCCUCAAUUAUUUCUUUUCAAUAUUUAGAGUUGUUGAGUAAAAUACAGGACACUCAGGGAAUUUCAAAUUUUAAAUAAAUGAUGAAUUUGUUUUUAGUAUAUAUGUUUCCCAUAUAUUUCAUCAGUUAUACUGAAAAAAAAUUGUUGUUUAUCUGAAAUUCAAGUUUAAUUGGGUAUGUCCUGUACUUUUUCCCCUAAAUCUGUCAAUCCUAUCCAUACUGCCUAUUUUUUCCAGCUGGGCUUCCUGUAAGAUCUACCUUCCUCCCUACCCCUAUGUAAAGAUUCCUAAUGAAAAUCUGUAGUCCUAAUAUUCUUCAUGAAGGAAAAUAUUGGUCCAUUCCAGGUCCCACAAAUGCUUUAUGGAGGACCAACUCAAGUAUAGAUGGAAUAAUCAAGCAAGUAUCUUCAUAAGAUCAAUGCAGCCACAUUCAAAAUUUCUCUUCAUUGGCCUGUUGUAAGACUCAGAGUCUCCCCACUAAUCCCUUAAGUAACAUUUUCAUGUAAUUGGGACAAGCAAAAACAUAUCUACACAUUAAAAAAGAUCCUGCACAGUGGAUGCACUGACUUAGUAUCAGGACCUUUUUUAAAAUUCAAUUUUUUUUUUCUGAAAGGUAACAAACUACUCCAUUACUUUUACUGCUAACACCUUACCACAAUUUUUAUAAGGUUAGAACUGGUCACCAAUGGAAUUGUACAAAAUUUGACAUAGGAAAGAACUCUCUUCAUUGCAGGAAGAAGAGAUAAGAAGAGUCUGAGGUAUAGACAUAGCCCUGUUGGUCCCUCCUCAGAACAUUGAGGUAGAGCUGGACAGAAGGUGGGGAACAUGUGAACCCUCACAUGGAACUAGCACCGACAGACAGACUCACCAAAGCAAAUUGUAACGGCCAGCAUAUUUUUUCUUUUUUUAGAAAAUGAAAACCCAAGAGGCCCCAGAAUAAGGACAGUGAGAUCUAAGGCUGGUUUCUAGAAUGGUUUGCAGAGAACAGAACCAUGUUGGAAUUCCUAAAAUAGAACAUUCAAAUACUGUUGUUUCCAACAGUGAAUCCUUGACAGUCGAAAUGUGGAUGGAAUUUUGAAACAUUUUUGGUAGCUACCUCCUUUCUUCAAAUUCCUAUAAAUGGUACAGGAAAACCCAAAUCUUUCAACAGAACAUCUCGCGACCCCUACCUGCAUACAUUUGUGUUGAUUUGCUUCAUUUCCGGAGAAUGGGAAUUUGCGGAGCUGGUGAUAUUUCCUUUAUUAAACACCAGAAAUUCACCAGAGGAAGACAGAUAUGUGCCUUCUCUUUUUAGGAUCUGGUCAUUGAUACUUUAAUAAAUGUGGUAUAAAGAAAAUCUCUACAGUCUGUGUAGCAAAUGUGAAUGUUUUUGAUAAGAUUGUGUUCUUAAAGUAAAAAAACAGUUUCUUUGUAUUCAGUGAAACGCCUAAUAAAGUCCUGGUACCAGUUA